AACAGGAUUAGAUACCCUGGUAGUCCACGCCGUAAACGAUGUCGACUUGGAGGUUGUGCCCUUGAGGCGUGGCUUCCGGAGCUAACGCGUUAAGUCGACCGCCUGGGGAGUACGGCCGCAAGGUUAAAACUCAAAUGAAUUGACGGGGGCCCGCACAAGCGGUGGAGCAUGUGGUUUAAUUCGAUGCAACGCGAAGAACCUUACCUACUCUUGACAUCCAGAGAACUUAGCAGAGAUGCUUUGGUGCCUUCGGGAACUCUGAGACAGGUGCUGCAUGGCUGUCGUCAGCUCGUGUUGUGAAAUGUUGGGUUAAGUCCCGCAACGAGCGCAACCCUUAUCCUUUGUUGCCAGCGGUCCGGCCGGGAACUCAAAGGAGACUGCCAGUGAUAAACUGGAGGAAGGUGGGGAUGACGUCAAGUCAUCAUGGCCCUUACGAGUAGGGCUACACACGUGCUACAAUGGCGCAUACAAAGAGAAGCGACCUCGCGAGAGCAAGCGGACCUCAUAAAGUGCGUCGUAGUCCGGAUUGGAGUCUGCAACUCGACUCCAUGAAGUCGGAAUCGCUAGUAAUCGUGGAUCAGAAUGCCACGGUGAAUACGCUCCCGGGCCUUGUACACACCGCCCGUCACACCAUGGGAGUGGGUUGCAAAAGAAGUAGGUAGCUUAACCUUCGGGAGGGCGCUUACCACUUUGUGAUUCAUGACUGGGGUGAAGUCGUAACAAGGUAACC
rnacentral:rRNA from 1 species